rnacentral:misc_RNA from 1 species
UUUGCUUCUGCCAUUCCAAAGUUAUUACCAAUGCACAUUCGAGGACCCCAACCGAAGGGGAAAUACAAUGGCUCUUUUGCAGCUUUGGAUACCCCUUCUGAGAACCUAUUUGGAUUGAAAAUCAGUGCAUCGUCUCCCCAUACUUGGGGGUCGCGAUGUGCUAUGUAUAUAGGCACAAAAAUUUGUACUCCUGCAGGAAUUGUCAUUUCUCCCAAUUUAGUGUCCUUUGAGGUGCUUCGCAUAAGGGUGAGUGCUGGGUAUAAUCUCAACACCUCUUGGAAGAUCAUGUUCAUUAUUUUUAAUUGAUUCAAGUCCUCAAACUUUGGUUUGUUUUUUCCAAGUACUUGAAAUACUUCAUUUCUAGCUUUGUCUUGCCACUCAG